UUCCUCUAAUCACACGGACAGAGUCUCCUUUGUAUUUGCACGGCGUACCAACAACAACAUCAGGAUCACAACAACAACUUACAUUCACCAAUCCACAAACCAUUCAUGUGAUGCAUUUUCAUACAGCUAGCGAUCGUUAGGAAUGAUGCAUGCCUUUAAACACUCCUUAGGGGCUGGAUGAUGCGAUGCACAGUACAGCAGUCAUCCUAUUUAAAAGUGCUCCCCACCCAGAAGCUUUGUUUUGGAACUCUGUUUAAUCAUCCAUAAAACUAUUCGAAAAUCUUUUAAAAUUGUUUCCUACUCGAAAACUCUAUUUUGAAAAUCGAUUACCUCGGAGGGUAGAAAACCACAAUGCAUAAAUACAUAAAUCCAACACCAAAGAUCCAUAAAUCUCCAAUCGCAUGCAUAAUAAAAAACAUCAACUCAAAUAAGUUCACAAAUACUCAAAUAGUAAUAGUAAUCAUCUAACUAAACCAUUUAAUUAUUUAAAUUACUAAAUACAGAAAUAAAAUAUAACCAG
rnacentral:lncRNA from 1 species